CGCGACCCGUAGGGCUCGUGUAUAAAAAAGCUCAGCUAGGGUGGGUGGAGACUUCUAUUAACGUGGGUUCUAGCCGGUCUCUGGUCCUAGAGCUUGGCCUCAGGUCCGAUGCCUAAUGUUUCAUUCCUUGGCGCCUUAGAACCGUCGCUUUAUCAGUCUCCUUGUUUCUAAAUCGGAGGUGAUGAUAAUUGAGAUGAGGCCUGGCCCAUAGUGAGCUCCCUGCAUUUUUUACAUAUUGUUUGCUCGGGAGCCUGGCCUCACCCUGCUCGCGAAGGGUAUCAAACUCGACAGCCCAGGUGCUUAGCGUCAGCAGAGAAAAGCAGAGUGUGGGCUUUCAAGGCAGAUUGCCUAGUUCAAACCAUGCCCCAUGCUUUACUUGAGGCAUCACACUGCUGGGCCUCACGGGAUGAUCUAGUCCUUGACUGGGCUAUUGUGAAGAUUAAGUAAGAUGAUGUUUAUUUAGUGCUUGGUGCAUCCAUAGGCCCUCAGUAAACAUUAAUUUAUAUUCCACGUUUAUCGCCUUGCUUUGGGCCUACCGCCAAUUAAUCUCUCAUUCUGGUUUAGAGAAUUUGGAGGCAACCUAAGCAAACAGAUAAGAAAGAUGUCAUUGGAGAAUCGGACUGUGGAAAUUCCAUCCAAACAUAAAAAAUGUUCAGAUUGGCAGUGUUGAGUUGUUCAAGAUAGCCUGAAAAGGUUGGCAGGUGGUGAUAAUUAUGCUUUGAACACAGCUUGUGGCUGUCAACUACACAUUUGGAGAGCUUGGGGAAGUAACACUUUGUAAUGUCAAAGUUUAUGUAUGGUCAUGGUAUUCCUUUUGCAGGAGGAGGGCAGGGGGACACUGCAAGUUCCAGGACCACUCCCCCUCCAGCAACUUCAGGCCUGGCUGCUAACAGUGACCGUAGGAAGUCACCGUCCCUCAUUGCUCCCCUUUCACCCUGUUCAUGACUCCUCAGUUCUGUCUCUUAAGAGCAUGAUCUGUGUGACAGCUGACCAAUACAGGUAUGUGUAUCUGUGUUACUGAAUUCAAAAUUCCAGGUUAUAGAUCCCUGCAUCACAUUAGAUGCUCCCAGGACGAAGUCUUCACUUACAUCCAAGACCCUAUCCCCUCUACCUACAAUGCCCUCCUUUCCUCUCCUUCUCAGGCUUUCGGAGUCAGAUGUCACCUCCUCCCAGAAGCCUUCCUUGAACUUCCUGAAGCUAAGUGAAGAACCUUCCUCAGUGACAACUCCAACAUAGCACUUCACCAAACGGACUGUCACUGUCUGCUUGUCUGACUCACUGAACUCUGAGCUCCCAAGUGCAGGAGCUGUUUCAUUCAUCAUGGCACCCCUGGUACCCAGCAUGGUUCUGAGCCCUGGUGACACUCAGUAAUCAGCUGGUGGCAUAAAUAAACCAAGUAUCUCUCCCA
rnacentral:lncRNA from 1 species